AUUGAACGCUGGCGGCAUGCCUUACACAUGCAAGUCGAACGGCAGCACGGGAGCAAUCCUGGUGGCGAGUGGCGAACGGGUGAGUAAUAUAUCGGAACGUGCCCAGUCGUGGGGAUAACGUAGCGAAAGCUACGCUAAUACCGCAUACGAUCUACGGAUGAAAGCGGGGGAUCGCAAGACCUCGCGCGAUUGGAGCGGCCGAUAUCAGAUUAGGUAGUUGGUGAGGUAAAGGCUCACCAAGCCGACGAUCUGUAGCUGGUCUGAGAGGACGACCAGCCACACUGGGACUGAGACACGGCCCAGACUCCUACGGGAGCAGCAGUGGGGAAUUUUGGACAAUGGGCGCAAGCCUGAUCCAGCAAUGCCGCGUGCAGGAUGAAGGCCUU
rnacentral:rRNA from 1 species